UUUUACAAUCCCUGUUGGGAAUUUUAGUGGUAUGCUUAGGAAGAUGCAUCAAAAAGACACAUCUAUGUGGCAUGGUCAGAUAAAAGUGCCCUGCUGGCAAUUCUCAGGAGGAAGCCUGCAGCCCCUCUGCUGCAUGUUCCUCCGCUGCCAGGCACUUUGUCACUGCUAAUGCUCAGCUGGGAAAUAUUCUUGGAAUACGGAGCAUUGGCCUCCUUCCCUGCACAGAUUCCUGCACUCUAGGAAAGCACACCAAGGCCUUAGUGACUCUGCAGUACAACUGAGUUGCUUCUUACAGCUAGUAAUAGCUGCCAGUGCAGUGCUGUCAGAGAAUACCCGUCAGGUAGAGAACAGAGCCCAGUUUACUCAGUGUCUGCCAUCAGCUGCUGGGACAAAAGGUGGAUUGAUCGACUCCUCUGUGGGUCGGAUCACAAAAACAAUCAUGUUCUGUCUUGAGUAGGGUCACCUUAGCAGCGUGGGGCUUUAGAUGGUGGUUGCUGCUACCUAUUUCCCAGUCAGCUUCUCCUGUGGAAAAGCCACUUGGGUAAGCAUUCAGGAAGGCAGUCAAGUCCACACACACCACUCUCACCACAGCAAGCUCGGCACAGAGAGGCUGAGAGGCCUUUUAUAAGGUCACUUCCAGUGAGGUUUAUUUAAGCACGCCAUAGGGGAAUCAGAGACAAAAGAUGAGCCAUGUCCUCUGCACAAAGCUUAAGGAGGGGCACGUACAGGUUUGGUAGCAAGGGGCGGGACAAAGGGAAUUGGCUCUCCAGGAAGAAGGGGCCGUCCACCAUGGGUACCACGACCGCCACUAAUUACACAUUGCGAACUAAAUGUUUUUUUCAAAGGAACUCUUGCUAGGUAUGAAUAGAGAUUCUUGGUUGUUUCCAAUUGGUGAAACAUUAAUAUGACUUAAAACUGAUGUGAUGGGGGAAUAAUUAAGCUCUGUGCAAAAAGACAUUGUUGAGUUCAAACUGGGUGCUCACAAACAGCUGUUCAGGACCAAUCAUAUUUCUGUAGUUUGCGUGCAGCAACCAUAAUGAAGGUUUGUUUUCUGAAAUGUCUGCCUGUAGGUAGCCAAGUGGAAUCCAAAGGAGAAUUCCUUCAGUCUGAAAGAAGAUCUGUUUCAAACCCUUCAGACUGAUUAGCCUGGAUACACUGAGACAGACAGUCAGAAUUUGAAGUUAAUACUUUCUGGGUAAAUUCGGCCUUUCGGAGAAAGGGAAAUAAAAGGGCUCUGGAAAUAAAGCCUAGAUUCUUAGAAUAUGCUGAGGUAGAAGGAACAUGCCAGGAUCCUGAUCCUGCACAGGACACCAUGAGAAUCACACCCUGUGCCCAAAAGAGUUGCCCAAGCUCUUCUUGAGCCCUUGCUGCAGUGACCACUGGCCUGGGGAGCCUGUUGCAGUGCUCAAGCACCCUCUGGGCCAUGACUGUUUUCCCAAUAUCCUGCCUAAACCUCCCUCAACUCAGCUUCAUGCUGUUUCCUUGAGUCCUGACACUCAAGGUCUGUUUUCCCUGCAAGGAAAGACCUAUGGCAGUUGAUAUUUAUGCUUUGUAACAUGAAAUAUUGGAUCAUCCAUACAGAAAAUCAGCUCCAUCUCAGAACCCCACCAGCAGCAGCCAAGCAACAUCUCCAAGGCCUUCUGAGAGAGACACUCCAGCAAGACCUGCUCAGAAACAGCCUCUGGCUUCUGACUUGACCAGUCCUGUGACGAGCAAGAAGAGGAGAAUUGGUCACCAGCAGAGUCAUGUCCAGGCAGCAGCUGGUGGCCACUUUUCUUCCUUCCUUCUGCCUUCCACAUCCUUUUUCACUUUGGACAUGUCUCCAAGUGUUGGCUCCAUUUCCCCCCUGCACCCAUGUGGUGCAACAAACAGAGAAAUUUCAGAGUUCCAUCAUCCCAGCGCCUGCCAGAGUGCAGAAGGAGACCCCCAAUUCAAAUGGGAAGAAAACUGAAUUGGGGAGGCUGAAGCAGUUCCAUCCCUUGGAUUUCGAUGAAGGUAUUAAUGUGCUGGUUUUCCUGACUCCUGUGUGCAUAACUGUGGUAUAAAGAUUUGGUUAUUAAAAGAAGCUUCUGCCCAAAUUAAGGUGCAAACAUGACCCUUUUCCACAGCCAACAGUAAAAAUGUUAUUGAACAGUAAAUGCAAACUAGGGAGAUAGAAAGAAAUAUGAGAAGAGAGGCAGGGUGAGGGGAAGACAGAGCCAUUAAUUAGGAAGUUAUCAUCCCCACAUGGACCCUCUGUCCUCCAGCCAGUCCUUCCUCACCCUUGGUCUUCUUGGUGGUGGGGGUCCUCAUGUCUCCUUGGAGGUACCACCUUUAUAGUGUCCAAGAUUGGGGUAUCCACAGGCUGGUCACAGCUGUCCCCACAUCUUGGGCUAGAAGCCAUAGAAGCAUUUUCCUCACCCACAGUAUCUACAGUGGAGAUUUUAUCUGGUGUCCUAAUUCCAAACCUUCACCUCUGUUAGGCCAAGGCUUAUAGUUUCUCUUCAUGCCAUCAGAUUCCUGUUGUGAUGGCUUAUCUUACGGGAGCAUCCUUCUUUGACAGUGUUCUCAAAUAGUUAAUUGUGCUCUUGCUCCUUGUGAAAAGGGAGCUUUGAAACCGGGCACUGGAUACAUGAAGGCACUGCUUUACAUUACUGCUCUACCAUUAUUCCUGCUGUAUGGUCAUGAAAAAUCAAGAUUUGGUUUUUUUCUUCUAUUACAUUAGAUUGUAACUCUUGCUUUAAUAGACAACAACAGCAAAGCCCAGAACCUGUGCUGCUGACACCUUGUCUAAAACUACAUUAAUAUUUAGAAAUUCUCCCUCUAAAUAGUGCAAAACCAAUCAAGAACAAAAAAAUGUGAAAUUAAUUGGUGUUGGAAGAACCUGCUUAAAAGGAAGAGCCAGGCACUAGGAAGCCACAAGGAAUGGGUUUUUUCUUUCCAUUUGAUUUCUAGUAAAAUUACAGUUGACUGAGACAUCACUUUUUCCAUCAGCAGAUUUCCAAGACUGCAUGCUGAAGACAGAAACCUGUUCACAUUGAUUUCAGACUAGUUUACUGAAACAUGUCAGUCAAAUCUCAGUGAUUCCAUGGCUGUUCAUUGAACUCAGCCUUUUCAUGGAAACUCCAAAAGCUGCAAUAACUACAAAAACCUACAAAACCUGGGCUGUGGUUUCCUGGAGUUCUACUUUGAACUGGGCUGUGAGUUCCUCUCCACCCUAGCUGCAGAAUUUCUUUCUUCAAAAACUGUGGAAGUGGUGCAGACUGAAAACAACACUGAAAAGCUGAACAGAAAUGCAUAAAGAACACUUGAUUUCUGAGGGCAGAGACACAGCCAGUAGGGCAGAGUUCAGUUGCUUUGAUGAAUCUGUGGGUUGUCUCUUUUGGAGGUUUACCUUGCAAAUUCCAAGUUUGGUUUAGUCUGGAGGCAGGUUUAGAGUGUGCAGAUGCCUCUUGCAAGUGCUGCUGUGCUUGUAGAGACAGGUGCUUUGAGAUGGUCUUCCCACAUUCCUUCUGCACAUGCACACAGUACCUGCAAACCUUGGGAUGCCUUUGGAAGGAUUUCUGCUUGAAUCUAUAAACACAUCAGCAACUUUCUUCAGGAGGCAGUAACAAAAUUCUGCCCAGCUGGUGAAGGAAAUAUCUGUUCUGUGUUUCAGGUUGGGGCUUAGGCUGAAGUGAUCAUGAGGACUGAGCCAUGAGAGCAAAUGCACUUUUGGAAAUGAAAUGCACACAGUAAAGUGUUCCUCCAAGUGGGUAGCCCCAGCUACUCCAAGAUGAGAUGUUCCACAUUCAGGAAUAAGUUUCUGAAUUUGGCAAGAAGCAAGUUGAGUCCUGGCACCAGUCUUCUGCUUCAGCAAGGGAACGUCUAUGAGCUCCAGCUGUUUUAUUUUAAAAGAAGAUUAGGUUUUUAAGUUUCUUCAAGUUAGCAUU